CGGGAUGUAGCGCAGCUGGUAGCGUACCACGUUCGGGACGUGGGGGUCGCCGGUUCGAGUCCGGCCAUCCCGA
rnacentral:tRNA from 1 species